AUCCUACGGGAGGCAGCAGUGGGGAAUAUUGCACAAUGGGCGCAAGCCUGAUGCAGCCAUGCCGCGUGUAUGAAGAAGGCCUUCGGGUUGUAAAGUACUUUCAGCAGUGAGGAAGGUGGGUAUGUUAAUAGCAUAUUCAUUUGACGUUAGCUGCAGAAGAAGCACCGGCUAACUCCGUGCCAGCAGCCGCGGUAAUACGGAGGGUGCGAGCGUUAAUCGGAAUUACUGGGCGUAAAGCGCAUGCAGGUGGUUUGUUAAGUCAGAUGUGAAAGCCCGGGGCUCAACCUCGGAAUUGCAUUUGAAACUGGACAAACUAGAGUACUGUAGAGGGGGUAGAAUUUCAGGUGUAGCGGUGAAAUGCGUAGAGAUCUGAAGGAAUACCGGUGGCGAAGGCGGCCCCCUGGACAGAUACUGACACUCAGAUGCGAAAGCGUGGGGAGCAAACAGGAUUAGAUACCCUGGUAG
rnacentral:rRNA from 1 species